GACGAAGGGGGCUAGCGUUGUUCGGAAUUACUGGGCGUAAAGCGCGUGUAGGUGGUGGGACAAGUCUGCUGUGAAAGCGCCUGGCUUAACCGGGCGAGGUCGGCGGAAACUGUCCGACUAGAGGACGGUAGAGGGGGGUGGAAUUCCCGGUGUAGUGGUGAAAUGCGUAGAGAUCGGGAGGAACACCUGUGGCGAAGGCGGCCCCCUGGGCCGGCCCUGACACUGAGACGCGAAGGCGUGGGGAGCGAACAGG
rnacentral:rRNA from 1 species